UACGUAGGGGGCAAGCGUUGUCCGGAUUUAUUGGGCGUAAAGAGCUCGUAGGCGGUCUGUUGCGUCCGCUGUGAAAACUCGGGGCUUAACCCCGAGCCUGCAGUGGAUACGGGCAGACUAGAGGUAGGUAGGGGAGAAUGGAAUUCCCGGUGUAGCGGUGAAAUGCGCAGAUAUCGGGAGGAACACCGGUGGCGAAGGCGGUUCUCUGGGCCUUACCUGCGCUGAGGAGCGAAGCGUGGGGAGCGAACAGG
rnacentral:rRNA from 1 species